rnacentral:rRNA from 1 species
CACGUAGGGUGCGAGCGUUGUCCGGAAUUAUUGGGCGUAAAGAGCUCGUAGGCGGUGUGUCGCGUCGGCCGUGAAAACCUGCAGCUUAACUGUGGGCGUGCGGUCGAUACGGGCAUCACUGGAGUUCGGCAGGGGAGACUGGAAUUCCUGGUGUAGCGGUGAAAUGCGCAGAUAUCAGGAGGAACACCGGUGGCGAAGGCGGUUCUCUGGGCAUGACCUGACGCUGAGGAGCGAAAGCAUGGGGAGCGAACAGG